GAGGUUUCUUGUGCACUUAAACAGGUAAAGAGGGUGCCGGGUUUUCUUGUUCGUAGACGACCCGCAUCCCUAAAUAAAAUUCAGUUCAAGCGCGAGACAUAACCUUCAGUGUAACAUGUCUGCAAGCAUCCCCCUGGUGAGGGAAGAGGACAGUGCCGAAUAGUUUACUAUCUUUGUGUACAGUUCUGGUGUUCGGGGAUAGGUAAAGUGGUAGAUCUACACUUUUCAAAAGGACGGAAGGACAGGCGUUCUCAGUAUCUCACCCGUGUCUCUCUCGCCACAAGCACCGGAGGGGCCGGCUUCCUUUCCUGUUCGCAGUGUUGCCCAGCAAAGAACGCAGCUCUGCAUCCUCUGUGGUACUCGAAGGACCGUGUGCAACCAGAGGAGAAAAAUUGCACGUGUAUCUACUUCUCCGCCGCAGGUGUGCUCGUCAAACCGUUGUCCUGACUGUCGGUGUUACCAUGGAAAGUGAGUUUCGCACGCCCAACAGCGAAAUGGAUUCAUGCACUGCAUUUUUCGUUAAGCCGAAGACGUCCCCAGAGUUACUGGAGUCUUCCGACCAACUCUCCUCUCUGUGAAGUGUGGUUUCCUCACCGAGAAGCGUCGCUAAACACGGGCGUCCUGUCCAUCACUCGAGGCUUUAGAGCCCCCACUGGAGUUUAUGUAAAAGGCAUAUAACUCUUUAUUCACGCUGUGUCGCUGCGCGUUUGGACGUGAAGCGGAAACGCCUGCUGCUCACAGAACCGAGGGCAAACAGAGCAUGGGAAUGUUCGUUAAAGGCCUGUGGCGCUUUCUGCAGCAGUCCUCUGGACACCGCCACGGCGAGACCUGGCGUCUCCGGGGUUCCCCUUUUCCCAGCAUUUGCUCUUUGCGAGAACACCUCCACAUUUAACAGAAGUACCAGUUCUUUCUUUGACUCUUCCUUGCUUCUGG
rnacentral:lncRNA from 1 species